UCAUUGAACACUAAGUUGAGAAGCAGGCUCUGUCCCAGUGAGUACGUAAUACCACACUGAAAACAUUCUACAAGCUCAAUCAACGUGUUUUAUACAUGAAUUUUUACUCAUUGUACAACACAUUAAUCGAUGGUGUAAAACCAGUCGCUAUAGGCAAUCGAAAUUCAGAUGUACUCGUCAAUUUACAAAUUAUCGAAAUCUUUGAUGUAUUUAUUAGCGAUUCCUUGAUUUCCUGAUACCACGCACCCAUUAUAGAUGCACGUCAAUAAACAUGUCACGCGGGUAUUGCAAAUUAGAAUCCAUAUCAUGAUAGGCAAACUAGUUGAGUUCUACUGUGACUUGACUACACUAAAACUAAUGGUGUAGUAACCUUAAUCAUGACAAUGUUGUUAACGCAACUAUUCCAAGAUAUUUUUAAAUUAAAUGAAAUAGUAUUAAUAUUGAAAACAAUGUUGUUGAAAUUACCAUGUCAUAAGACUAUAAUACUGUGUACUUUCAACUUUGUUAUUAUAGUCAAAAGUUAUACUUUUUGAAGUCAAAUAGACUACAUGUGUAGUGAUAAGAAAAGAAUAAUGUUCUCGAUUUUACCAUGGCCAUGGUAUUAAUUGCAACCUAGAAAAAGAUCUCAAGCUCAUCCCCAGUGAAGGACGCCAUUUUUGCCUAUCAGUUCUUUCGCAUGGUUAGGUGGAUAAUUUACUUUGUUAUUGAAAGCAAAAAAAAAAUAAAUGAAGCAUCAAAGUAGCGACAGAUCAGAGAUACAUGAGGAUCAAGAGAUUGAUGCCCGUGAUAAAAUUCAUAGAAAAUUACUAUUGGGAAGUGGCUUCCCCAUGGUGUUCUAGCUCAAUUGCUGACACAUCAUGAAGAUCAAUUUGGUGUAUAAGACAUUGGUGACUUUAUUUACUGUACCGUGGGCUGGCGCUAUACAUAUUUUUGUUGCAUGCUUGCACGCGCUGUUGUGCCACUAUUCAAUCCGAUUCCAUGAGCCGGAAUUAUUCCACUGGAAAGGCUCAUCGGAUCAGUAUUCGUACGUCGGUAGCCUUAGCGAAUCUUCCACAAAAAAACGUAAAUUCCUCUUGAGCGCGUACCACCCAUUCCACCCGAUAAAGUUUUGCAGCUUUUAGUUAGACGGUCAUCACAUCCAACGAGCCGGAUGUAGUCAGCUAAGCACCAAUCGCGCCAACUGUUAGUGGCUUCGGAAAAUCUUCAAGUUCUGGAACAGUUCUUUGAUCAACGCGUCACUACAUCUCCGUUCUAUAAAGUCUGAGAUUAAUUAAGUUAAUUCGAUUAGAUUCUAUUUCAUUCCGUACUUUUUUGUACUGUGAACCGGACCAAAAAGGUGUGUACAAAUUAUCAAAAACUUAAAAAUAUAAUUAUACAAAAUUUAUUUACUAAAAAAAUAUAUAUUAUUUAGUAUAGAUAUACGCAUUAUGUAUCAGAUUACAAAUUUUCCAAAUAUCGGACGAUCAUAAAGAUCAGUUCUAUAGGUAUAUUGUACAAAUUUGCAUAUCUGAAUGCAUUAUGCGUGAAUCGUUAUAAAGGAUUUAAUAAUUUUAGAUAAAUACAUGUAUUCUGUAAAAUCCACUACACGGCUUUUGUUAUUUUAAAUGCAAUUACUGGUUGAAAAUUCCACUGAAAGUUGUAUUCGUAGCUACCAUGUCCCAAUCAGUAAAAUUUACUACACGAUAGUCGUAACUUUGAAUGCAAGAGAUGGUUGAAAAAAAUAACUUUUAUUUGUCAUCAAUAAAACCAUGAAACAUGGUAGUUUUGACUGAUUCAGUCUUGCAUUGCCACCAUGGUAAAAAUAACGACACGAAGAGUUCAAAAUGAAUGCACUGCGUAGUCUGCACAAAUAAAGUGGUGCUGUGCAUUUAAUUUAAACCAUCAACAUGGUAGUUUUUACCGCAAUGCUGUUUUCAGUGUAGUGAUUAAUUUCGCAAAUGUAAAACCCGCUGAAAUUUUGUGUUAAAGGCUUUGCUAUUGAACCAAAGUCAAAUCUUAAUCGAAUUACAUGUUUAACACGUUAUUUCACCAUGCCAUUCAUUUGACACGACAUAUCCACGUAUAAAAGAAUGUUCAUCGAAUGUCUGGAUUAUUUUCAAUGCAAAAUGAUGAAGAAGUGUUUGAUUUGAAAGCAAAGGUUCCAACUGGGCGGGAGUAGGCUCAGAUGCCAU
rnacentral:lncRNA from 1 species